GCAGCCGCGGUAAUACGUAGGGAGCGAGCGUUAUCCGGAUUUAUUGGGCGUAAAGCGUGUGUAGGCGGUUUAUUAAGUUUAAGAUUAAAGCCUGGAGCUCAACUCCAGUUCGUCUUAAAAACUGGUAGACUAGAGUGCGGUAGAGGUAAAUGGAAUUUCUAGUGUAGCGGUGAAAUGCGUAGAUAUUAGAAGGAACACCAGUGGCGAAGGCGAUUUACUGGGCCGUAACUGACGCUGAGGCACGAAAGCGUGGGGAGCAAAUAGGAUUAGAUACCCC
rnacentral:rRNA from 1 species